rnacentral:lncRNA from 1 species
CACAAUAUGAAUUUUUCCGGAUGGCCUGAAAUCAAAAGUUUAUAUAACAAAUAGUGUAUCAGUAUAGAUAUUAUUAAAAAAAAAGUAUAAUUUUGUACACACGCUUGACAACAGGGAAAUGAAAGAUACGAAGUCAAAGGAUAAUAAGUUUCAGCUAUACGAAUCAAUGAAGACGCCUGUAAAAGGUAAGAUAAUCAUCAGUGUUUGUCAACAAGUGAUUUCCUGUCAGUACAAUUCCAAUUAAGCAUUUUGAACAUGUAUUGGUCAACUAUCAUAUUUGAUCAAAUUUUAUUUAAUUCUAAUAAAUACUGAUAUUUCAGACUUGACAUUUUGUUUUAAUUCAAGAUAAUACUAUCUUACUGGAAACAAAAUAUAUAGUAUAAGACAAAAGUCAAAAUAUAUGACUGUUUUCCAUAUUUUUCAUUUCUUCUAAAAUAAAAGAAUCAGAUCAAUUUUUAUUUAAGAAUUGAAUGCUUCUUUUUGUUAAUUCAUUUUGGUAUAAAAGCACUGACCGAAGUACAUUUUGCUUCAUUCUAAAAAUGUGCGCACGGUCAGCGCUUUUACAACCAUGUGAAAUCACAUAAAGAAACAUCAAAUGCUUAAAAUUACAGUUUUAAACUAGGAUCAUCAAACCACGGUUUCUAUCAUGGUUCUCUUUAAUUUACCUGUGCACAGUAUUGGUGAAGCUUGUGUCAUCAUGACUCCCAAGGGUGACUGGGGAAUAGAAAUAUGGUCACUUGGUCUUCACCCGACCGGCAGUAAAACGCUUGCCGAAGUGGAGCGUCCGUUUGGAUGUGCGGCAUGUAUCAAGUUCGCAGUCACGUCCGCUCAGAAGGGGGACGUGAAAUCCGAUGCCUCUGGUAAAGAGAGUGCCACGCUCUUUACACGUUAAGAACCCUUGCAACAACUCUUAGAGGGGUCCGUAGGUGGCCUGUUGCAAGGCAACAUUUCUGUCCCUAUCCAAUAUACCCUCAUUUUCAAGUGGCAGUCCAAAUUUCCCCGACCAUUAUCACAGAUGGCCUCUAUUGUAUCAACCUACCUAUUGUAUUUAUUGUGAACUUGUUCUCGUCCUGAAUAUGCUUGAAAAUUUGCCACAGGACAUUAAGCAACCAACAAUCAAUCAAUCGUGUCAUCAUGAAUGUUGAAUGUCACUGUGUAAUGAAUGUUCAUUGCAAAAGGAUGAGAGAUUGCCGAUAGCCGAUCAAAAUUUCGUAUUAUAGUGAAACAUACAUGCAAUGUAAUUAUUGAUAAUACAUUUUGGCUAUAAUAUUCAUAAUGAACAUUAAAAUAAAAAUAUCAAAUAAUCUAGCUACUUUAUAAUAUUUAUCCCCCCCUUUUUUUUUUUAGAAAAUACUUCAAAGUUAGACCAAAGCAGGUUAGUAUGUUUACAACAGUCCUAACCUAAUCAAAGUAUCUAACAAACAGAUAUUUCAACAUGUUCAAAUUUACAAAAAGUAAGUUUACAAACUGAACAAACUUUCCAGAAAACAGCUAUCAAUCGCUUCAAAAUAUUCCAUACAUGUACAUGUAGUUAUAUUCGUCAGACAAGCGUUUUGGUUGGAUAUUACUCAUUGGUGUCGCUCAUAUAAACAAAAACAAAGUGUGAAUCAUUGAAAUCUACCACCUUAAAACAUUUGCAAAAUCUUCGUUUAUCCAUAUAUGUAGGAUGUUAAAUGAAGCUAAAGGUUUCGAAUUUUUGGAUUAUGUAUGAACAUUACAAACAAAAGUAUCAUAUGGUACAUGUGGUAACUAUGCAUUCAGAACUGUGGAUUUCAAUUUGAACGAAACGAUCAUUAGUUACGAUACAGUUGUUGAAUUUAUUCAUCAAAGAAUAAAGUCUUUUAAUAUUUCAACGGUUCACGAAAAAGGGGAUAUUUCUUGUAUAAAGAUAAGGAUGUUAUAAAAUCAGAAUGUAUAUAACAAAUAGAGUAUUGAUAUAGAUAUAUUCUUUGAACAUUGUAAAAGAGGAACGAAAGAUACCAAAGGGACAGUCAAACUCAUAAAUCUAAAACAAACUGACAACGCCAUGGCUAAAAAUGAAAAAGACAAACAAAUAACAGCACACAUGACACAACAUAGAAAACUAAAGAAUAAACAACACCAACCACAAGUGAACGUAAGUGAACGUAUACUAUUGUAUAUAUGCUUAGUAACAGGAAAAUAAAAGAUGAGAAAUUGAAAGAUAACAGUACUCAGCUAUACGAAUCGAUGAAGACGCCACCACAAGGUCAGAUUAUCUAGGUGUUUGACAAUAAAAUAUUCCCAGUCACUACAAUACCCAAUUAAGAAUUUUAGAACUCAAAGAUCAUUUUCAAAGACAUGAAAGAACAACCUUUUCAAAAAAGACAUAACAACAUUUAAUUAUGUUGUGAAUACUGUGUAUAUGGUAGUAUAUACAAUAGAGUGAUGUUAAUGAAGAACAAAUAAUGAGGUAUAAUUAAAAUUUUGCAUAGGUUCAUAUUAGUCGAGUUGACUGAAGUGAAAAUCACACAAUCUCAUGAUGACUUUUUUAAACAUUGCCAUGAAACUGCCGCUAGAAUAUGUUCUAUUAUGCAUUUAAAAAACAGACGAACAUCGUAUAAUGACGAUUGAAUAACUAAAGUUGAUAUAUAUUGGGACUAAUGAGUUAACCAACACCCUAAAAAUCAAACCACCGAUAUGGAACAAAGAAUUAAAUUGAAUGCACAUUUUUGCAUACAUGUAGUUCUAUGCCUAUUGCAGGUACAUUAGACUUUCUUUCUAUAUUAUACCUGUGUUCAUGUUUUCUAUAGGCAAAUACUUCACUCAUACAUUUUGGGACAACGGAAAGUAAAAUCACAAAAAUUCUGAACUCCAAGAAAAAUUCAAAACGGAAAGUCCCUAUUAAAAUUGCAAAAUCAAUAGCCCAAAUAUAUCAAACGAAUCGAUAACAAAUAUCAUAUUCCUGACUUGGUAAAGGCAUUUUUUAAAAUAAAAAAAUGGUGUAUUGAACCUGGUUUUAAAACUAACUAAACCUCUCAGUUGUAUGGCAGUCGCAAAAAUUCCAUUAUAUUGACAAUGAUGUGUGAACAUAACAAACAGACUGGGUAAAAAAUGUCAAAAUUAAUGGUACCACUGUCAACAUUGUGGUAUAAUCUUAAUCACUAUAAAACAAACAAACACACAAAAACAUUAGUUCAUAAGUAUAUCUCGCUUAUCGUUUUCUAUAUAGAUUAGAUUGUUGGUUUUCCUGUUUAAAUGGUUUUACACUAGUAUUAUUUGAGGUCCUUUAUAGCUUGAUGCUCAGUGUGAGCUAAAACUCCGUGUUAAAGACUAUAAUUUGACCUAUACUGGAUUAUUUUAGUAAUUGGGACUUGGAUGGAGAGUUGUCUCAUUGGCACUCAUACCGCAUCUUCUUAUAUCUAUACAGAAAAAGCACAUUAGCAAACGUUUACAACAGCAACUCUAAUAGUAAAAAAAUUAACAGUUAAGUAGGAAUACUAUUUACUAUAAUAUUUUGUUCUGCUGAUCGUUAACUAUUGCCUAUUCUUAAUGAAUAUAUUCAUUCCCUUUAUUUCAGAGGCUAACAAAUCCACGAAAAACGAAAGUGAAGACAUGUAUUCAAGUGUUAUAUAGACUUAAAUCAAAUCACUUUAGUUCCUAUUAUAUUUAAGCCUGAUAUUAUUCUCGAGUCUCAUUUAUCAAUCAUACAUCAACGAUUCAUUAAUUCGGGCUUUUUGCAUGUAUCAUCGUCAACAAUUCUUCAACUAACAAGCAAACAUUAUUUUUUAUAGUUCGUUCUUAUGUUGAACUGUUAUACCACUGUCCCAGGUUAGGGGGAGGGUUGGGAUCCCGCUAACAUUUUUAACCCCACCACAUUAUUAAUGUAUGUGCCUGUCCCAAGUCAGGAGCCUGUAAUUCAGUGGUUGUCGUUUGCUUAUGUGUUACAUAUUUGUUUUUCUUCCCUUUUUUUACAUAAAUAAGUUAGUUUUCUCGUUUGAAUUGUUUUGCAUUGUCUUAUCGGGGCUUUUUAUAGCUGACUAUGCGGUAUGGGCUUUGUUCAUUGUUGAAGGCCGUACGGUGACUUAUAGUUGUUAAUGUCUGUGUCAUUUUGGUCUUUUGUGGAUAGUUGUCUCAUUGGCAAUAAUACCACAUCUUCCUUUUUAUAUUAAUUUGUAUUAGAGUUUGCCAAUCCUCCCAUAAAAGGCUGAUUAUAUCUACAUGUAUCGUCUUAUCAUGUACUUAUAUGGGUAUCAUAGUGUAUCUACUAAGCUAGCUAAUCAAACAUUUAUAUUUAAUUUACAAUACUAAACAAAG